AAAUUCAUAGAUUGGUUGGAGUGCCCCACAUGCAAGCAGUGGUGGCACGAAUGCUGCAUUGUGUGGAGGCAUGAGGGAGUAUGUGCAAAAUGUUAAGUUGGCGAUGGAUUCUGAUUAGAAGAUGUUCCCAUGCUUAUGGAUCCAAGUCAUGGAAAUUUUGAUAUAUAUACAUUAUAAGUUAAAAAGCAAUUUUUCUUGAAUUUUAUCAAAACAAACAUUUAACAAUAACUGUGUAAAUAUGUUACUAUUGGUGGAAAUAUACUCUGACUGAAGGUGCUGCCACCUAGUAUUGGCAUUUAUUAAAAUGAUUGUUAUAGCCUCUGUCAUAGCAGCACUCACUAGUUUCAUCAGAAUAAAUAAAAUUAAUAGUUUAGAGUCAUGAGCAUUGUCAGUGAGUCACAAACGCGGUGUUAAUAGAUAUAAACACGUGUAGGCUUACACACGCACGCGCGCGUGGGUACAUGUUGCCUUCUCGGAUGUGGUAGGAACAUGAAACCUAUCGUACAAUACUGACUCAUUGCAGUAUGACUCAUGCACUACUAUCUUACAUGUACGUGCCCGAAGAGAUACUCACAAAUACAGAGGCGCGCGAGCGUAGACACAUAUGAGACUUUAAUAUAUCGUCACCUUCCUAAAAUAAUGGCCUAAGUCAUAUUUUCAAGUUUUGAGAAAAACAGAAAAAUAUUAACCAAAUAUUGAAUAUAUGACAUUUAUUAAUCAAUUCACAUAGAAAGGUUUGUGGAUAUAUGACUUUUGAAAUACACAUAACGCUGUCUGUCAAAUAUGUUACAUAUGUUAAUUAGAUGACUAUAUUAUCGGUGGUGGAUGUAGAUGUUAUAAUUUUGUAUCUGUAUGGCAAUUUUCUUUAUUAGACAUUGGACAAUCCUAGUUUCAGUAAAGAUUAAUAUUGGAAUCUAAUAUGAUUCCAAUAAUUAAUAUUUUAUUACAGUAAUGUGAAAAUAUUAUGAUAAAUAAAAAAAUUACACUUA